rnacentral:rRNA from 1 species
CCAGAUGUGGAAGCCCGGUAACGGGUGAAGCUGACUGGUACUAAUAGGCCGAGGGCUUGUCCUC